rnacentral:rRNA from 1 species
CUUAGUGGCGGACGGGUGAGUAACGCGUGGGAACUUGCCCAGGAGCGGGGAAUAACCUCGGGAAACUGAGGCUAAUACCGCAUACGCCCUCCGGGGGAAAGGCUUCGGCCACUCUUGGAUGGUCCCGCGUCUGAUUAGCUUGUUGGUGAGGUAACGGCUCACCAAGGCGACGAUCAGUAGCUGGUCUGAGAGGAUGACCAGUCACACUGGGACUGAGACACGGCCCAGACUCCUACGGGAGGCAGCAGUGGGGAAUAUUGGACAAUGGGGGAAACCCUGAUCCAGCAAUGCCGCGUGAGUGAAGAAGGCCCUAGGGUUGUAAAACUCUUUCAGUCGUGACGAUGAUGACGGUAGCGACAGAAGAAGCCCCGGCUAACUCCGUGCCAGCAGCCGCGGUAAUACGGAGGGGGCUAGCGUUGUUCGGAAUUACUGGGCGUAAAGCGCACGUAGGCGGUACAUCAAGUUAGGCGUGAAAGCCCUGGGCUCAACCCAGGAACUGCGCUUAUUACUGAUGAACUAGAGAGCGGGAGAGGGUAGCGGAAUUCCCAGUGUAGAGGUGAAAUUCGUAGAUAUUGGGAAGAACACCAGUUGCGAAGGCGGCUACCUGGACC